GAACCGAUGCUUAUAUACAAGGGAGCCUGAGUCUGUUCGUGGUGAGCAUGCCGUAGAUGCUAUUUAGCACGCGGAAGCCUGAAGCGCACAGUAAGGCACCCACCUAGACAGGUGGGUUC
rnacentral:sRNA from 1 species